rnacentral:rRNA from 1 species
GAUGAACGCUGGCGGCGUGCCUAAUACAUGCAAGUCGAGCGAAUGGAUUAAGAGCUUGCUCUUAUGAAGUUAGCGGCGGACGGGUGAGUAACACGUGGGUAACCUGCCCAUAAGACUGGGAUAACUCCGGGAAACCGGGGCUAAUACCGGAUAACAUUUUGAACCGCAUGGUUCGAAAUUGAAAGGCGGCUUCGGCUGUCACUUAUGGAUGGACCCGCGUCGCAUUAGCUAGUUGGUGAGGUAACGGCUCACCAAGGCAACGAUGCGUAGCCGACCUGGGAGGGUGAUCGGCCACACUUGGACUGAGACACGGCCCAGACUCCUACGGGAGGCAGCAGUAGGGAAUCUUCCGCAAUGGACGAAAGUCUGACGGAGCAACGCCGCGUGAGUGAUGAAGGCUUUCGGGUCGUAAAACUCUGUUGUUAGGGAAGAACAAGUGCUAGUUGAAUAGGCUGGCACCUUGACGGUACCUAACCAGAAAGCCACGGCUAACUACGUGCCAGCAGCCGCGGUAA